CUACCCCAGCAGUACUGGACGCUGGAAGGCGUCCAAGAGGUCUUCGGCGACAAGGUGCUCGUGGAUCGGCUCGACAGUCGCACCCUGGAGCGUGACCACACCAAGACGUUCGCAUGCUGGGUGUGGGUUUGGGACAUGUCGUUCAUCCCCACCCGGCACACGUACUGGAAGCUGCCCCAGGGCGCCGGUCGGGUGUAGGAGAUGGACGGCUUCUCACCGCCGGACCGCCGCGUCGCCCUCCCGCCCGGCGCGGAGCGCUACGAUUUGCUCAUCCACGUCGACUGAGUCGAGGACUGGUCCCCCCGUUCCUGA
rnacentral:rRNA from 1 species